GGGGGUGACAGGCUUCGACGGGGAUCAUGAGGCAAAGGUGGCAUGCCGAGCUCCGGGAACUCGUUAAGUCCGGAAAAAGACAACUGCCAACACUGAACUGGCACUCGCCGCUUAAUAACCGGUGACGUCCUUCUUCUGACGCCUGCGCAGGGGAAAGGGCGACGAUAGCGGGCUGGCCUGCUGCUGGUGCUCAGCGGCGGUGGGCGAGACAUACUGGGCUAGCGACCGUUCUAAGCCUGCCGACGGGCGUGGACGGAAGCGAAACCCCAAAUCGGCGGCUAAGCAUGUAGAGGCCUUUCGCUGACGGUCUUCGGACAGGGGUUCGACUCCCCUCACCUCCACCA
rnacentral:tmRNA from 1 species